UAACACGUGGGCAACCUGCCUGUAAGACUGGGAUAACUCCGGGAAACCGGAGCUAAUACCGGAUACUAUGUCAAACCGCAUGGUUUGACAUUCAAAGACGGUUUCGGCUGUCACUUACAGAUGGGCCCGCGGCGCAUUAGCUAGUUGGUGAGGUAACGGCUCACCAAGGCGACGAUGCGUAGCCGACCUGAGAGGGUGAUCGGCCACACUGGGACUGAGACACGGCCCAGACUCCUACGGGAGGCAGCAGUAGGGAAUCUUCCGCAAUGGACGAAAGUCUGACGGAGCAACGCCGCGUGAGUGAUGAAGGUUUUCGGAUCGUAAAACUCUGUUGUCAGGGAAGAACAAGUGCCGGAGUAACUGCCGGCGCCUUGACGGUACCUGACCAGAAAGCCACGGCUAACUACGUGCCAGCAGCCGCGGUAAUACGUAGGUGGCAAGCGUUGUCCGGAAUUAUUGGGCGUAAAGCGCGCGCAGGCGGUUUCUUAAGUCUGAUGUGAAAGCCCCCGGCUCAACCGGGGAGGGUCAUUGGAAACUGGGAAACUUGAGUGCAGAAGAGGAGAGUGGAAUUCCACGUGUAGCGGUGAAAUGCGUAGAGAUGUGGAGGAACACCAGUGGCGAAGGCGACUCUCUGGUCUGUAACUGACGCUGAGGCGCGAAAGCGUGGGGAGCGAACAGGAUUAGAUACCCUGGUAGUCCACGCCGUAAACGAUGAGUGCUAAGUGUUAGAGGGUUUCCGCCCUUUAGUGCUGCAGCUAACGCAUUAAGCACUCCGCCUGGGGAGUACGGUCGCAAGACUGAAACUCAAAGGAAUUGACGGGGGCCCGCACAAGCGGUGGAGCAUGUGGUUUAAUUCGAAGCAACGCGAAGAACCUUACCAGGUCUUGACAUCCUUUGCCACUUCUAGAGAUAGAAGGUUCCCCUUCGGGGGACAAAGUGACAGGUGGUGCAUGGUUGUCGUCAGCUCGUGUCGUGAGAUGUUGGGUUAAGUCCCGCAACGAGCGCAACCCUUGAUCUUAGUUGCCAGCAUUCAGUUGGGCACUCUAAGGUGACU
rnacentral:rRNA from 1 species